rnacentral:rRNA from 1 species
ACACGCUGGCGGCGUGGAUUAGGCAUGCAAGUCGAACGGUAUCAUCCGUUUCGGGGGUGAGAGAGUGGCGAACUGGUGAGUAACGCGUUGGUGACCUACCCCAAAGAGCGGGAUAACGGUUUGAAAAGACCGCUAAUACCUCAUGUGAUCAUAUGGAUUAGAAGCCUAAUGAUUAAAGGAGCUUGCUCCGCUUUGGGAGGGGCCAGCGUACCAUCAGCUGGUUGGUAGGGUAAUGGCUUACCAAGGCUAUGACGGUUAGGGGACCUGAGAGGGUGGCCCCCCACAAUGGAACUGAAACACGGUCCAUACACCUACGGGUGGCAGCAGUAGGGAAUAUUGGUAAUGCGCGAAAGCGUGAACCAGCAACGCCGCGUGUGCGAUGAAGGCCUUCGGGUUGUAAAGCACUUUUCGGGAGGAAGAGGAAGGACUGUACUCCCAGAAUAAGCCUCGGCUAACUACGUG